CAUAGAUAACGAUUAAAAUGUUCAAGGAUCUGCAUACAUGUUUACACAAAAACGAAGGUAAACAAAUAAGAUAAAUGUUGAUGGUGAUGUUGAUAGUCUGUUAUUUAUAAUAUAUCAUCAAAAGUAUCACUGAUUCAAAUUAUACAAGACAGGACGCGAAGAAAUAGUGCAAAAAUGGCAAGCUUACCAGAGGAGUUCUCAAUUAAACUAGACAUAAGAAGUACAGAAAAUCUCGAUAAACGAUUACUUUUCCUGAUGGAUAAAGCAGCAAAAAAAGUAAAAGAAAUAAAGCCUGUCCUUGAUUAUGUUCACCAGAAAGUUGUAGAUUACAGAACGCAAAGACCUUAUGAUACAGUAACAGUGGUUGGUAGUGUAGGUAACGAGCUUUACUUCCCUGAGGUCAUGCCGGACGAUUCUUAUCUGGUUGAAGUUGAUGUCUUGUAUCACCGAGAACUUCCAGAUGUGUAUCUUCCCGUUCAUUCUCCGCCUGAUGAGACUCAGCGUAAAACGCCACCUUAAGUUACCGUGAAGCUUGAUUAUUUCCUGGAUGACGAACACAAAGUAGUCUCGACACUUCCAAUAGGUGCUUGCCUAAUUGAGGUAACCAGUAAUAUUUAUGAAGUAGACGAAAGUCAGAGGUGGACAUUUUCCAAAGAAUAUAAUGGUAAAACUUACUUGAGAUCUUCAGGAUUCAUAUGCUUAAUUCCACGGCAAGAAGAUCCUAGUAUUUUAGGCGAGGUUGAAAUUGAACCGUUAGAUAAAGUAAAAACGGUGCUAUUGUAUAGAACAUGUCGAACUAACAUGAACACUAUGAAAGUAGAUGGGAAAGAAAUUAAAUUUAAAAUUUUAGUUGAUAAAGUGUUUGCUCUUAAAGGAACUUGGCCACAUAAGUUGUCAGAUUUCCAGUUCCGCGAGAAAAAAUGGCCGCAAAAAAAGGUAGUCGACAGUAUUGUUCAAGAUGGCUGCUUGUUGACACACUUAACAUCAUAUGUGGCUUAUCCGUUGCAAUGGAAAACGACAUUUGCUCUAGCUGAACAACAACUAACAACGAGGUUUUCUUUUCAUCAGAAAUUUCUGUUCAUUUUGCUCAAACUAGUGAAGAAAAAAUAUCUGGAUAUGGGGGUGAUGGAAAACGGAGAAUCACGUGUCGGUCUUACAUCUUAUCACCUUAAGACAAUUUAUCUAUGGGUAUGUGAAACCCGGGACCCUCAGCAAUUUAUUGACUAUCCUGGAAUAGGCUUUCUGUCCUUUCUGAAGAACUUAAAGCAAUGCAUUGCAUCCACGGUCUGUCCGCACUUUUUCAUGCCUACCCUAAAUGUCCUGGAAGGACUCGGGCACUACAAGAAACCACUUACAGAAAAUGACGAAAAAUGGACAAAAGAGCAUAACAUUCAAACAAUUUUAAUCAACCGAAUUGAUGAAAUAAUAACGGAUCCGGGGCAGUUUUUGACCGACGAUCUUCUCGAUGUCAUAGAUGAAAAACAUAUACAUGAAUUACAGAAGACAAUUGGAGAAGCAGAAUAAGAUCUUUUAUCUGUAAAAAAACUGCAGAAAUAAAAACCAUGUUGUUACUUAUGUAUUUAUUUUCUUACUAUGUUUAUUUUGCAACACGAAUAUGGGUAAAUCAAAGUGAUCGAAAUUACUGGUGGAAAUAUUUGAAAACUUGUGUAUGCAUAGUUUCGAUCAUUUCUAACAUUCCAUUAAUGAAUGGUUAUGGGGAAAAACUAGAUAUUUCACCAUUGCAUAUAAUUGCAUUAUAGCCAGUUAUUUAGAAAGAGAAGAUAUUUUUCAGUUAUUAUAUUCAACUGAGGUAAAUAUUCCAUGAAGGUUUGACAAAGUUAUUGAAAUUUCACUGUAAUGUUAACUGUAAAGCAAUCAAGUCCACUUAUCAGUAAAAUACUGAAAAAUGAAAAUAAAUAUUUUAAAAUGUUUGCUCGGAUACUGUUUACUGGUUAUAAUGAUGAUUCUGUAUCAAUUUUAUUAAAUAUCAAAACA